GGCCCCGUAGCUCAGUUGGUUAGAGCGCCGCCCUGUCACGGCGGAGGUCGCCGGUUCAAGUCCGGUCGGGGUCG
rfam:Bifidobacterium gallinarum strain LMG 11586 Contig05, whole genome shotgun sequence.